UAAUCUUGAGUUUUGAUGUCCUUUGAGGGUUGAGAUGACUGAAUUUGCUAAGCCGUUGGCUGAGGUGCAUGAAGGAGGAUGGUAGAAUCGUGUCAGCCUCAGGAGGGAUGGUGAUGUUGGCUAAGAGGAGGGAGCCUCUAGAGAAGCAGGACUGAGUGACAUCAGGAAUUUAGUCUCAGAAACACAGACUGUGAGACCCCAGGAGACAUGAGAGGAAACACCAAGAAGCGGGGUGACCCUCCACAUACACAUCUGGAAAGAGCUUGGGUGAGCAAGGCACAUUUGUGGUUGUCUGGGUUCGGUAAAAAUCCACAGGACAAGCCAGAUCCUCUAGGGCUGCAUAAAGCAGAGAAGGGCCAGGUCCAUCUCCCAUCUCACAGCCAAGACGAGAGAACUGACAGAAAACACUGUCAGGCCAGAGUAUAUGAGCAAGAGAAAGCCCAGGGUAAGAACUUGUGACCGUGUGAGGAAGAUGAUCUACGGGGGAUCACAUGGGGCCAUUGAUAUGGCCAGGCAUGUGGAGAAGGACACACAGCUGGGACUAAAGAGGACACCAUCUAGGUCCCAAUUAACCUUGACUAAAGCUGCCUCAAGAGAGAGGUUGGGGUGGUCCCUUUUUGAGUAGCUCAGAGGGAUGGAGCACAUAGGAGGAAAUGAGUCUCUUUUAAGGGAAGAGGUAAAAAGGGUUGGAGUGUAGGGGUCAUGGAGAGCUUGUGUGUGUGUGUGUGUGUGUGGUGUGAGUGUGUGUGGGUGUGUGUGGUGAGUGUGUGAGGGUGUGUGUAAGUGUGUGUGGGUUUUAGUGGGGGUGAGUGUGUGUGUUUGGGUGAGGGCCUUCUGCUUUUCAAUGAUGUUUUCAGAUAAUUUUUUUUUUUAAGAUGUUCUUUAUCUAUGCAGCUGGGAUCCUGCCCCAGGGUAUACAUUCCUUGGAGGUUCCUAAGGGCAGGGGCCACAGUUGGCCAUAAUCAUGGAACCGGUCCAUUUAGUCUGCCACAGAGAACGGCCGGACACACAGCCCAGCUCCUGGUGGAGAACAGUUCAGAUGCAGCUUUUUCUUCCCAAUUCCCACCCACUGCACUUUGCACGAUGAUACUUUAAUUUGGAGUCAUUUAAAACAUAAUAAGAUGGGAAUUUGAUUGCUCUAGAAUGCUAGAGUUAGAAAGAACUCUUCAAGGUUGUUUAAUUUAGUAUUUUCAGGUGAGGAAACCAGAAUCCACAGGCGACUUCUUAAUGCAUAUUAUGUCAUCAACUAUAUAUUGGAAUCGACUGGAUUGACAUUUACAUAUGUCCAUUCUUUCAAAAAGUGUGAACUUGAAAACUUAUCUGAGCUCAGUGCUGGAAAAAAGUCAGACUCACCGUAAGCAAGAUUUAAAUAACAUUUGAACGUUGAAGGCUGUCAUUCCCCUCCCAGAUAUAAUCCUGCUGGUAAAAUCUUUGUAAGCAUGGGCUUACGCCAUGGUUCAGCGAGUAAAGAGACUGAGGCAGAAGUGGGAGGAUCUGAAUCUGGACCCCCCCACCCCACAACCUAUGUGAAGCCAGGUGGAGCCUGGUUACUUUUAUGGCAACGCUACACAAAUUAAAGUCUUCAGAGAGGAGGGGACUUCAAUUGAGAAAAUGCCUGCAUAAGAUCCAGCUGUAGACAAACAUGUAAGGCAGUUUCUUACUUUAGUUAUUGAUGGUGGAGGGCCCAGCCCAUGUUAGGUAGUGCCACAACCCUGAGCAGGCGGCCCUGGUUCUGUAGAAAGCAGGCUGAGCAAGCCAGAGGAAGCAAGCCAGUAAGCAGAACCCCUCUAUGGCCUCUGCAUCAGCUCCUGCCUCCAGGUUCCUGCUCUGUUUGAGUUCCUAUCCUGACUUCUUUCAGUGAUGAACAGUGAUGAGGAAGCAUAAGCCAGUUGAACCCUUCACUACUGUGAUGGUUUGUAUAUGCUUGGUCCAGGGCGUGGCACCAUCAGGAGGUGUGGCCUUGUUGGAAUAGGUGUGCCACUGUGGGCAUGGGUUUUAAAACCCUAGUCCUAGCUGCCUGGAAACCUUCAGAUAAAGAUGUAGAACUCUCAGCUCCCCCUGCACCAUGCCUGCCUGGAUGCUGUCAUGCCUUGAUGAUAAUGGACAGAACUUCUCAAUCUGUAAGCAAGUCCCAAUUAAAUGUUUUCCUUAUAAGAGUUGCCUUGGUCGUGGUGUCUGUUCACAGCUGUAAAACCCUAACUGAGACACCUCUGGUCUGAUACCUCCCCAAGUUGCUUUGCUCAUGGUGUUUCAUCACAGCAACAGUGAUCCUAACUAUGGAAGUACCUAUGGCAAAAUGGGAGGCCAAGUCUGGAACGCUGGGAAGCUCAUGAGCCAGCUAGCCUAGCAAACACAGCAUCGAACAAGAGACUGUUUCAAACAAGAACGACAUCAGAGGUCCCUAGGAGGAUGCGUGGCCCCUUGGUGCAGAGCCAGCCGACUCUGGAUGACUGAACAGUAACCCGGAAAAGGAAACAGCUAUGGGCUGAAUGCCUAUGACGCGGUAGAAAAGAGAUGUGCCCCUCUGUGGUUCCGAGCAAUGGCUGUUUCUGUUUGAUUUAGGGUUGUGAGGGUUAAGAGCUGAAGAAGAAAGGGAACGUAGAGUUUUACCUGUGAUUAUUAUGAACGCCACGCCCCUAGGACGCGGUGGUGGCUGGGGCUGGGAUGAAUCUUCCUAGCAAGAAAUAUGCCCGACGCCAGCAACUUCCCCACACAAUUUGUCUGUCUGUGUAAUCCUCUGGUGUUUACAAUGGCUUUUUCGCACCACCAAGAACACAAUAUGAAAGGUUAUAUUGUAAUUCAUUUGGCACAGUCUAUACAGCAGCCCACGAAAUUUGGUUAAGCAGCCUGAAUGCAGAUCUGUGUGCCCUCCAGACUCUCGAGUCCCCAUACUGUGCGGGAGAAAAGCAAAGGACAGCACUCUGCUAUAUAACCUACUUGCUUCCAGAUGUGACUAAGAGGAGCAAAAAAUUAAAAUAUGGAUACCAGAUAAAUGGGAUAUUAUAACACGCGAUAGUAACUGAACUGAGUUUUAUUAGUCAAAAUGAUAAAUGACUUAAAAUAUUGGACGGAACAUUAAGUGUAAACUUUCAAAAUACCUCCUGUCAUUGUCUAAUUUGUGUUCUUUGUAAAUAAUAUUCUAUGAAUAAACACUUUCUAUCUAUAA